GUCUAGGACCAUGCCACCCUGGAGAAGCCCGAUGUCUGAUCUCGGAAGCUAAGCAGGGUUGGGCCUGGUUAGUACUUGGAUGGGAGACCACUUAGGAAGACCAGGUGCUGUAGGCA
rnacentral:rRNA from 1 species